rnacentral:rRNA from 1 species
UACCAGCACCCCGAGUGGUCGGGACGAUUAUUGGGCCUAAAGCAUCCGUAGCCGGUCCUACAAGUCUUCCGUUAAAUCCACCUGCUUAACAGAUGGGCUGCGGAAGAUACUAUAGGGCUAGGAGGCGGGAGAGGCAAGCGGUACUCAGUGGGUAGGGGUAAAAUCCGUUGAUCCAUUGAAGACCACCAGUGGCGAAGGCGGCUUGCCAGAACGCGCUCGACGGUGAGGGAUGAAAGCUGGGGGAGCAAACCGGG